UGGGGAAUAUUGGACAAUGGGCGCAAGCCUGAUCCAGCCAUGCCGCGUGAGUGACGAAGGCCUUAGGGUUGUAAAGCUCUUUUUGGCGGGGAAGAUAAUGACGGUACCCGCAGAAUAAGCUCCGGCUAACUUCGUGCCAGCAGCCGCGGUAAUACGAAGGGAGCUAGCGUUGUUCGGAAUCACUGGGCGUAAAGCGCACGUAGGUGGGCAGUUAAGUCAGGGGUGAAAGCCCGAGGCUCAACCUCGGAAUUGCCUCUGAUACUGGCUGUCUAGAGUUCGAGAGAGGUGAGUGGAAUUCCUAGUGUAGAGGUGAAAUUCGUAGAUAUUAGGAAGAACACCGGUGGCGAAGGCGGCUCACUGGCUCGAUACUGACACUGAGGUGCGAAAGCGUGGGGAGCAAACAGGAUUAGAUACCCCGGUAGUCCCUGAGCGGGCUGGCAAGGCGCAU
rnacentral:rRNA from 1 species